rnacentral:rRNA from 1 species
CCUACGGGUGGCAGCAGUGAGGAAUAUUGGUCAAUGGGCGGGAGCCUGAACCAGCCAAGUCGCGUGAGGGAAGACGGUCCUAUGGAUUGUAAACCUCUUUAGUCGGGGAGCAAUGCCUGGCACGCGUGCCCGGCGGUAUAGUCCCCGCAGAAUAAGCAUCGGCUAACUCCGUGCCAGCAGCAGCGGUAAUACGGAGGAUGCGAGCGUUAUCCGGAUUUAUUGGGUUUAAGGGGUGCGUAGGCGGAUUUUUAAGUCGGCGGUAAAAUGUCCGGGCUCAACCCGGGCCGGCCGUUGAAACUGGGGAUCUUGAGUGGGCGAGAAGUAGGCGGAAUGCGUGGUGUAGCGGUGAAAUGCAUAGAUAUCACGCAGAACUCCGAUUGCGAAGGCAGCAUACCGGAGCCCGACUGACGCUGAGGCACGAAAGCGUGGGGAUCGAACAGGAUUAGAUACCUGGGUAGUC